AUACUUACCUGGCAGGGGAGACACCAUAGUCACGAAGGUGAUUUUCCCAGGGCCAGGCUUAUCCAUUGCACUGCGGACGUGCUGACCCCUGCGAUUCCCCCAAAUGUGGGAAGCUCGACCGUGUAAUUUGUGGCAGUGGGGACUGCAUUUGCGCUUUCCCCU